rnacentral:rRNA from 1 species
GAUGAACGCUGGCGGCGUGCCUAAUACAUGCAAGUCGAGCGAACAGACGAGGAGCUUGCUCCUCUUACCUUAGCGGCGGAUGGGUGAGUAACACGUGGCUAACCUCCCUAUAAGACUGGGAUAACUUCGGGAAACCGGACCUAAUACCGGAUAAUAUCUUGAACCGCAUGGUUCAAUAGUGAAAGACGGUUUUGCUGUCACUUAUAGAUGGAUCCGCGCCGCAUGGGCUAGUUGGUAAGGUAACGGCUUACCAAGUCAACGAUGCGUAGCCGACCUGGGAGGGUGGUCGGCCACACUGGAGCGUGGACGCGGACCAUGCGACUAAGAGAGGCAGCAGAAGGGUAUGGUCCGCAAUGGGCGAAAGCAUGACGGAGCAACGCGGCGUGUGUGAUGGAGGUGUUGGGAGCGGAAAACUCGGUUAUGAGGUGUGAACAAAUGUGUGAGGAAAUAUGCACGUAGUGACGGUACCUAAUCAGGAAGCCACGGCUAACUACGUG